UUGACCUCGGAUCAGGAAGGGAUACCCGCUGAACUUAAGCAUAUCAAUAACGAGGAGGA
rnacentral:rRNA from 1 species